rnacentral:rRNA from 1 species
GCUAGCGGCAGGCUUAACACAUGCAAGUCGAGGGGUAUAGUUCUUCGGAAUUAGAGACCGGCGCACGGGUGCGUAACGCGUAUGCAAUCUACCUUUUACAGAGGGAUAGCCCAGAGAAAUUUGGAUUAAUACCUCAUAGCAUAGCAGCUUCGCAUGAAGCCACUAUUAAAGUCACAACGGUAAAAGAUGAGCAUGCGUCCCAUUAGCUAGUUGGUAAGGUAACGGCUUACCAAGGCUACGAUGGGUAGGGGUCCUGAGAGGGAGAUCCCCCACACUGGUACUGAGACACGGACCAGACUCCUACGGGAGGCAGCAGUGAGGAAUAUUGGACAAUGGGCGCAAGCCUGAUCCAGCCAUGCCGCGUGCAGGAUGACGGUCCUAUGGAUUGUAAACUGCUUUUGUACAGGAAGAAACACUGGUUCGUGAACCAGCUUGACGGUACUGUAAGAAUAAGGAUCGGCUAACUCCGUGCCAGCAGCCGCGGUAAUACGGAGGAUCCAAGCGUUAUCCGGAAUCAUUGGGUUUAAAGGGUCCGUAGGCGGUUUAAUAAGUCAGUGGUGAAAGCCCAUCGCUCAACGGUGGAACGGCCAUUGAUACUGUUAAACUUGAAUUAUUAGGAAGUAACUAGAAUAUGUAGUGUAGCGGUGAAAUGCUUAGAGAUUACAUGGAAUACCAAUUGCGAAGGCAGGUUACUACUAAUGGAUUGACGCUGAUGGACGAAAGCGUGGGUAGCGAACAGGAUUAGAUACCCUGGUAGUCCACGCCGUAAACGAUGGAUACUAGCUGUUGGAAGCAAUUUCAGUGGCUAAGCGAAAGUGAUAAGUAUCCCACCUGGGG